rnacentral:rRNA from 1 species
GACGAACCGAGCGAACGUUAUUCGGAAUCACUGGGCUUAAAGGGCGCGUAGGCGGGCGGCCAAGUCAGAGGUGAAAGCCCCCAGCUCAACUGGGGAAGUGCCUUUGAUACUGGUCAUCUUGAGGGAGAUAGGGGCGUGCGGAACUUCCGGUGGAGCGGUGAAAUGCGUAGAUAUCGGAAGGAACACCGGUGGCGAAAGCGGCGCGCUGGAUCUCUUCUGACGCUGAGGCGCGAAAGCCAGGGGAGCAAACGGG